CACGUAGGGGGCGAGCGUUGUCCGGAUUUAUUGGGCGUAAAGAGCUCGUAGGCGGCUCGGUAAGUCAGGUGUGAAAACUCUAGGCUCAACCUAGAGACGCCACCUGAUACUGCUGUGGCUAGAGUCCGGUAGGGGAGCAUGGAAUUCCUGGUGUAGCGGUGAAAUGCGCAGAUAUCAGGAGGAACACCGGUGGCGAAGGCGGUUCUCUGGGCAUGUCCUGACGCUGAGGAGCGAAAGUGUGGGGAGCGAACAGG
rnacentral:rRNA from 1 species